GAGAGAACAAAGCUCUUUUAGAAUUUUUUCUAAUUGGAUUUCUGUCCUUGGUAGGAAAUCCCAA
ensembl:snRNA LOC120101996 U7 small nuclear RNA